AAAAAGAGCAGCAUUUAUUUAAAAAUAUUUCUUGCUGGUUUUAUAAUAGUAGCCUAAUUGUUUGUUUUUAAAAAAAAGUGUAUGUACACUUUAUACCCCUGUAACAACUGCAUGCAAACUGUGAUUAAUUAUUGUAAUCAAAAGCCUUUCACAGAGUUUAUUUUAGUCAAACUCACCACUUCCUGUGAAGUGAUGUGUUGAUAUUCACUUACAUUAAGUACAUUAAGUUUUGUAAUCUCACUAAAAUGGAUGAAUUGUCUGUGAAAUCCACUUUGCGGCACAAUACAGGGUGAUAAGUAUGUAGCCAUUAUUUCUGCAUUUCUGUUUUUUGCCACUAGUGGUGCAGAAAUUACAUCCUUCAGCUUUAACUGAUGCAUUUGGUUGAAGUGAUAAAUGGAUUUAUUUAUAACAGAUAGAGAUGUGAAGAGGAAGAGAUUAAUAAGCGAAUGAAUAAAUGAAUGGAUGGAGGGGAUGAAGUCGCUACAUUUCCGUUUUCAAGUCAUUAACGAUGCAUUAACCCCAUAAUCUGAGCUAAAUGUAGAACCGAAAAAAUCAAUGUCAUCCAAAGAGGGCAAAUCUGAACGAAUGAGGCUUGAAUAUGUUUACUGUAACCCAGGUAAGCCAUGUCAAACUGGUCUCAUCAGCUAAAUGGGUUGGGUUGCCAGACCCUGCCUGCUGGUCCCUGUGGAGAAGGUGCUGGCUGCAGAUAGAUUCCUGCCAAAUUGAUCACAGAUAAUUUCACUAAGCGCAAGAUGCGUCAAUCAGGGCUGUUCUUCCCUGGAGACUCUCCCUCAAGGACAGACGGUGGGAAGUAUUGUGCUGACAUCAGCAUAUUUCAAGAUGCAUUUAGUAUAGAUGAGUGCCGUACUCCAGUUGGCACGAGGUACGGGGCAGAUUGCACCUGAGUGUGUGGUAAAUUGCAUUUUAUUUGGCACAGCAUAAUGACAAACAACCAUGUUUAUGGUUGGAUGGGGUCGUUGUCUUUGUUAAUAUAGAUAAAUGGGCGUUUUCUUUCUCUGAAUCUGCUGUUUUCAUUGUAAUCAGGGACCCUGAAUAUACAGUAACUUUUAAGCACCUAUUAUUCAUGGUUUUGGGUCCAAAGAUGAUAUCAAAUAAAAAAAAAACAUUCUAUUUCAAAUAAGUUUUAUUCACUAAUCACGGUUUCUACACAUUUGUUUUAAAGGAAUUGUUUACCCAAAAAAUGAAAAUUUACUCACUAUCAGAUCAUCCAAAAUGUAGAUGGGUUUGUUUCUAUAUCGGAAAAGAUCUGGGAAAAUUUAGUAUUACACCAAUAGACUCUUAAUAAUGAAUUUGUUUAUUACAAACAUGCAGUUUUCUACUUCAUAGGAUGUGAUUUGAUGGACUAUGGGUGUGUUGAUUACUUGUAGAUUAUUAUGAUGUAUUUAUCAGCUAUUUGGACUCUCAUUCUGUUGGCACCCAUACACUGAUGGUGAGCAAAUUUUCAGCUAAUCUUCAUUUUUGUGUGAACUAUACCUUUAAGCAGCACAACUGUUUUCAACACUGAUAAUAGCAGUGUUGACUGUUGGAAACUCAACAUUGCCAUAACAGGAAUAAAUUGUCAUUGUAAUCAGAGACUAUAGAAUAUAGCUUUUAAAUAACCACCUGUUUUCAGACUCCAAAGAUAAAAGCAAAUGUAAAAGGGUCUUCUUUGGACUGUUUGUUCUUAACCGAUCUUUUAAGAGUAUACUCUUCGGUGCUUCUCAACUUGUUAACGUCAAUUUGAAGCAAGAAGUGGAAAACAUAAGUGUUUAUUAUCACCUCACAACAUGCUGUUAGCUCUCACUCAGCCUUUGCCCUCCUGUCUGCUUGGUUCUGCCUACCAUGAUCAAUAAGCUGGUGCUGUUUUGAUAAGAUGACCCAGUAAAAGCAUGGCAAAGGUUCCUGGCUUUUUUCAGUCUGCUAUACUGGAUUAUUAGUCUUUCCUUGACAUUUUAUGAAAAGGUUAGGUCACUUAAAAGGGGCUAUGUUGCUUCGCCGGGCUCUGUCGUUAAGGCAGAAUGUCCUUUGUAAACCAUGAUAUUUGGGCAAGUGCGAGGAAUCAGCUGUCCUCUAAAUUUAAAGGCAGCUGCAUUUUUUUUUUAUGUGUGGCUCCGUUCCUGACAGUUCUGUAUUUGGCUGUAGACAUUUUUUUUUAAGGAUCCUGCAGUUUAGCCAGUCAAGGUGAAGCAUAAUGAGUAACAGACACUGUCUGUGUUUAGAUAUCUGGGGUGUUGAUGUAGAAACACUGCUGUCACCAUAAAAAGCUUUACUUUAUAUAGUUGUCAUUAAUUUUAUAGUGUAUAGUUAGGCAUGCAUCAAUAUGGAAAUUCUGAAAUUCUCUUUCUUUUUCUUCCUUUUUUUUUUUUUUUUUUAAGAAAAUGCUGUUUAAAUUGUGGGAAAGGCUGAUAAAAUAUGUUCAGAUUACAGAGGCCUCCAAUAGCUCAUUUAAAACCCUGCAAGUAUUGGCUGAAACCAAUGUGUUUAUCCCUAAUUUUCAUUCUAUUGUAUCUCUGUGAAAUGCAGAAAAUAUUUAUCCCAUCUGAACUUCAAAGGUUUGCAAACUUGCGGCUUAGUCAGGGCUUUCUGUGAACUCAAUGGUAUUUCUGAAGAAACAGAUAAUCUCGAAGCAGUGUUAGUCUCACAAACCCACUCCUGGUACCAUCAGUCCAGUGCCUAUGUACACUUAGUCAUGUCAUAACACUGAGUCACUGCGUCAGUGCUUGUGGUGAGGCACAAGGACGACUCUCAGAAGACAUCGUAGUUUGUAAAAUUUGAUCAGAGAGUCUUGCAGUGCGUUUCUCUCACAGAUCAGAAGAGGCUUCACCCGCUGUGUUUGUGUGGGGUUGAGUGAGAGCGUGACAGUCUUUCUGUUGGUGGAUCCCCCCACUGUGCCCGUUAACAACCUGCUGGAGAGAGACCAGAGUUCCCAGCAUCCUCCUCUCCGAGGCAUUUCAUCUCACAACGGCCUCCUACUAUAGCAUGCUGUGUACAAUAGCGGCUUCUGUCCAGCUCACAUGUGUUUUGAACAAUGAGCUCACUUAUCAGAAGUUGAUUCACCUGACUGAGAAGAAAGCAAAAAAGGGUCCUCACAGGACAGGAAAGAAAAAAAAGGAAAGAAACCAUCUUUGUGAUGAGUUCCAUUGGUUUUGGUGUCUUUUAUUGAGGUUUGACUGCAGACGAUCGAAAUGUGUGUGAAGAGAAAGGAGACCUGUGACAUUUCCAGCAGUUGGGAGGAAACAGCUCUGUCAAUGUGAUUGGCAGACUGUGUGUGUGUGUGCGCGCGCGCUCAAGUCAUGAGCUGCAGUCUAUCUAAAGCUUUCCAUCACUCAUAUACAACAGCUUCUGUUCAUUCAGUGUUUCCUCAAGGAUGAAUGGAUGAACACACAAGCACAUUCUUGCGCACACACUUUUUAAACUCUCAAUUUAAACACUUUGAGAUUAAUUUAUACAUAGAUGUAUUCAUAGUGCCAUUGUACAGUGCUUAUCUCUGAAGGCUUUUCAAAUUGGUGUAUAAAGAGGGAAAAUAUUUGGUGUCUGAGGCAAAACUGCACAGAUUUUUUUGUAAAUUUUUUUUGCAGAAUGCUUUUAUUUUUCACUUUUUUUCACUUCAAAUAAACGUCUAAUUAUAUGAUUAAAGGCUGGAUUGUCAAAAUUAAUAGAAUUGAAACUUAUGAAAAAUGUAAAUUAAAAGCAAUUAAGCUGUUUUGCCUAUAAAUAUUUGUUUUUGUUUUGUUUUUUGCUUCAUAUGUGCUGUGUAUAUGAUAUAUAAUUUUAUUUUUAAAUAUACCUUGCAUCUCUUUUAAGGCAAAUCAUGGAACGUUUGAAACUGGUUUUGAUGAAUGAAUAAGAGUUUGGUAGAACUUUCUACCUUAAAAUGUUUCCAUAGUGUUCUCAGAAAUGAAUUGCAUGGCUUGUCUGACUAAUCGUGUUUUACAGGAUAACAUCUGUCCCUGCUAUUAGGAAACAGCCCCCUGUGGUGUUCAUAAGGGGGUCUCAACGCAAUGUGAAAUUUACAAUGUGACAUUUAAAGGUCAUUGUGGGGUGAAUAGAUGGAUUUCUUAAAGUCUUUAAAGUCCUCUGCUGUUUUUUUUUUUUUACAUUUAGUAAUGAAUAAGUGUUUGAAACAUUGAAGAAUUAUAGAAACACAACAACAAAUCACAGCACCAUACAACAUUUGGAGUCUGUAAGAUAUUUUUUAUGUUUUCUAUUAGCCUAAGUCUUCUAUGUACAUCUCUGUAAUAUUGUGAAAUUUAAUUACAAUUUAAAAUAUUUUUUUGAAUAUGUUUCAAAAUGUAUUGCUGUUAAGGUAAAGCUGAAUUAUCUAUAGACAUUUGUUUUUAGUGUCACAUGAUCCUUCAAAAAUCAUUAUAAUAUGCUGAUUUAGUGCUCAAGAACCAUUUCUAUUGUUAUUCAUGUUGAAAACAGUUGUGCUAUUUAUUUUUGUUUUCAUUCUUUGAUAAUUACUUGAAAAAUAAGAACAGCAUUUACUUGAAAUAGAAAACUUUUGUAAUGUCAUAAAUGUCUUUCCCGUGAUUUGUUUGCUUGCAUUUUUGCUGAAUAAUAGUGCUAAUUUAAAAAAAAGGGAAAGAUAGUGUCAUUGAUAGCAUCAAGGUCACAAAUUCAAUAAUUGUUAUACCAACUUACAGCAGGCACAUCUCAUCUAUCAGUCGGUAGAUAGUGAAUGGGGCGGCAAAACUAGUUAGUGUUUCCUGUCAAUUGCCCCUGGCGUGGUUACCUGUGUGUGGGUCUUCACGCUGGGCAGUGGGGGCAAACAGAUGCCAGACUGACACCCUCUCUCUCUCUCACUCCAUUUUGACUCCCUC